AGUGUAUCAUUUUAUUAUAAACAAAACCGAGCCUAUGAUAAUCACACAGCAAAUAACAAACCUGCUGAAUAUUUUCAGGCCAUUUUGAAUAGUGCUCUGUACAUGUAUAUCAAUAAAUGAUCAAAACUGCUUCUCUGUUACUCUGAAAUGCAGUACUACCAAGAGUUUUACAUUUUUAUUUAACUAUUCACAUAAAUGAGCAUAACGGAAAGAGGAAAUAGGCAAUAUUUAAGCCUUGAAGGUAGAAAUUCUUUUUUUCUGGAAACUAACCAAGUAGGCCUAACAACCGCUAGAAAUCUGCAAACGGUCUCCGGUCUCCCCGUCCACCACGGCCACCAGUGCCACCCUAGCCAAGUGAGUUACAAACCUUCAGCCUAUUUAGUCACUAAGGAUUUGAGAGAGAGUCUAAACCUAAACAACUAUAGCUAAUACUGAUAUUUUUAUAGUUCAUUGUUUAUGCUUUUACACAUUUUCCACCUGACGCAAUUCUUUUUACAUUCUCUAAGCUUGAGGGUUGUUUUUUUUUUUUUGCUACCAUUUAUUUAAUUGGAUUAUUUUAAUUGGUUUAAAUACAACACUGUAUGUAAACAACCACAGAAAUGAAAAGGCACUUCUUAGAAACACAAUGACUCACGUCACAAGACUCAAUGGCUUAGAUUUGAUGAACUGCAUGAGUUUAUGACUCAACCCUCCCAUGCCGUCCAGCUUGAAUGGCAAGAUUCCUAUGCAGCAUUUAGCGCACCAAGAUGUGGGCAUCAGAAAACAUAAAAUUGUGCUUAUGUUCUGCAGCGAACCUAUAUUCAUUAGGUUCUCUGAUCCAAUCACAAUAAACCAACCCGAGGCCCCAAAGUGAACAAGAAACGUCAUUUUUUCAGGCUUUUAAAACGGGUCGUAACACGUGACACGCUGACCAUUCCCUGGAAUGAAGCGGUCAACUUCAAGUCAAACGAGGAAGAUCCACGAUGUCACCUGGCUGUUUCUUCACGGCUCCGGGACAGGAAAACCCCGGCCUGCACAGGUGCAUGAUGGGAGAGGCAGCAGCUCGGCCCACACCCUGCGGGCUUAGCCUCGGAGGAUACGGAUAUGUGUGCAACGUGCGGACAGAGACUCCUCUGGCCUGAAACUUUAUAAAGAGCUGCAUCAAAACCGAGCAGAGAAAGUCAUGCCUGAGGUGCCAGCCACGUAUGAAGGACUAAGCCACCGGCACUCCUGGGACAGGGCCAGCAAGGGACACACGGGUGCCUCCCCAGGAACCGCAGUCAGAAAAGUAAGAGCAGCACUGUUUUCAAAAUACUGAGUACAAAAGUUAUAAUACAACUGCAAACCAUGGAACGUCUUUUGUUCCUUUAUAAAAAGGCAUAAGAUCUUAUUGUGAGCACUGGCUUUCUCCACUGGGGGGUAUGAAAAGGAAUAUAAAAGAGAAUCUGCAGAAAUCUGGAAAUAAAGUCCGAAGAAAAAGAUGACCGUCAAAAAUUUAGUAUGUUGUUUAAUAUGAUUAAAAUCAGAUUUUAAAAAUGGGAUCUCAAUAUUGAACUCUUCCCCAUUAAUUAUUUAUAAAUGCAUUUUGUCCUUAUGUUAACUUAAAAAGUGCCUUGGAUGACACACUGAGCAGCUGGUGAAAAGCCUGGGAACUAGUAAAUACCUUCAAAAGAAAAGUGCCAAGUUUUCCAUUUGUCCCAAAAGUGAAAAAAUAGAAACAUAUAUGUAAAAAAUUGUUUAAAGAGUUAAAAUCAGCUGCAGUCAUUAAUACAUACCGUAUAUCAAGAAGUAGUCACACGGAGUUCCCUGGUGGCUCAGUGGGUUAAGGUCCGGCAUUGUCACUGCUAUGGUACAGGUUCGAUCCCUGAUCCCGGAAUUUCUACAUGUCACGGGCACAGCCAAAAAAAAAAAAAAAAAGUGGUCAACUGAAGGCUUUAAAGAUAUUCACAACAAUAGCAAAUGAAACCUCCCAGCAUAUGCAUCAGAACAAGUACAUGUGACUUAGCAGGAGAAGCAGGGAGAAGCCCCAGGAAGCCACAGGGCCAGGUAAGGAUGUUAACACAUCCAGAAAAACUUUAUUCGUCUUCCAUUCCCUCCUCUGCUCUCAGCAAGAUUAGAAAAUUCUCCUCUCGCAAAUGAAGACAGGUCAUUAUUUUGACUAUAGACAGCAGGACCCAGGUCCCGAGCCAGUGAUGUAGCAGCUGUGACACCCGGAGUGGGCCUGUGUGUGUACAGCUGAUUAUAAGCCCUUCAACUGCAAACUCUAAAAGGUGGUUUUCCUGUGACACCUCUUCAGAGAAGCCACAUACCAAGAGUUCUGGGUGCCAACCAUUCCCUUCUUCCCUCCCUCCAGACACCAACAGUCCUGCUCAGAGGGAGGGACAAAGCCUGCACUAUUUUAAGCUCAGCCUGGGGAAUACACACAGGGCCUUCCCCCACCACCUCUAAAUUUAACAGGCUUUUUUUUAAAAGCCCAUGUCAGGGAAAAUGUAUGAAAGCACUAGAUUCCCUUGUCUUAAGAGCAGGCAGCUGAGUGAUAAAUGACUUUGCUCAAAAUAGAUGCUUCAUAACUUGAGGAAGAGUUGAAGCUUCUCCGAGGGGUGACACGCACAGAACUUCUGCCUGAAUCGUUUAGGGCGAGGACACAGAGCCCUGUUUCAGUUAGGAUUCAGACAAAAUGCACUCUUCGUGUACGUGUAUGCGAUGAAGAGGGGAGCUAACCCUCGUGGCCUCUGCCGUCCGCGGCCUGGCUGAGGUUUUGGAAGUCUCGUCCCCACUUCGCCCGAAGAGCUCUCACUUGAUGCGUUUAUACGGCACAGACCUUGGCUAAGUUUUAUCUAAAGGGCUCUCAUUGGCUUAAGACGGUCCACACAAAGAGUCGUUUACUGAAAGACACCUUUCCUGGCAAAGAACCCUUGUGGGGCUGGGGUGGGGGUGGGGGGUGGACCCAAGUCCCCCUUCGUUGUCAGUGACCAUAGCGAGUCUUAAAAUUCCCAGCGCUGUGACUGCAGGAAGAGCUGCAGCACUGAGGCAUCGGCAGGGCCUUGCAGUCCAUCAUCUCAGUUCUUAUUUGAAUUUAUACAUUUGACUCCAUUUGUUUUGAGCUUCUUCUCGCUGGACACAGGGGCACGGGCACAGUGAUUUGCAUUCCCCUUCUUCUUAAGGAGCGCGUGUGCCUGGGCUCUGCAGGCCUUGUAGGAGUCCGCGGAGUCCAGGAUCCCUGCCGACGGCCGGGGGACGCGGAGGUUCCCCUUGCUCUCCAGCUUUGGGCCGCUGCUGUCCCUGUCCGCGCAGGACAAGUCCCAGGGCUGCAACUGUGAGCUCUUACUGGGUUUCUUCCUCUUCUCCUCCGGCCGCGUGUUCAGGCUUUGCUUCUGGGAACAUAACCUGCCGCUGCUGAGCGCAUCGAGGGGGGCGGGGGGAGCCUCAAAGGCGCGACAGGAUGGCUGGACCUCUUCCAGGGGCAGGUCUUUCUUUCUUGAAGGGCCUGACUUCCGAGGCCCUUCCUGCGGAGGCCUGGACAGAGCGCUGGCCAUCAGCUUGCUUCUCCCCGGGCUUUUCAGGGCCCCCGAGGCCCCAGGGGCGGUGGGAGGCCUCGCCUUGGGCCCCUUUCCCUUCUCGCACUGGAUGGUCUGGAUCUGCAGCCACUCGAGCUGGACCAGCCUGUCGAUGUACCUCCCGAGGAGCCCCCCUGCUCUCGGCCCGGCCUCCGCCCUGCGCUCCGAGUGCAGCAGCACAGCCAUGUCCCGCAGGUCCCAGGAGUUGAAGGGGGCCGGCAGGAAGUCGGGGUAGCGGAGGUCGGGCUUUGCAGGGCCCUGCCCUGGGCGGAGAUGCUCGUGAGCCGGGUCGAUCUCUUCCGCUCGAAGGCGAAGGUCGGGAGGCGUGAGGGGCGAAGGGAGGACGGGGACUCUUUCCGAAUCAGAGAGGUCGCUGGCACUGUCACUGUCGUCAGCAUCUCCUUUGAUGAUUUCCAGUGACGGAAAGUCCAGAAACGACCUGUUCCCCGAGGCCCCCAGAGCCCUUUCGGGGUUUCCUCCCGAGGAAGUGCCUUCCUUCCGCUUACCCUCGGUCCGCUGGGGACCCCCUCCGCCGGGGCUGCUUUUCAGUUGGGAGGAGCCGGGGGGGCCCUGGGGUUUACUCUGCCUUCGCCUUGCAGGGUUCUUUGCAUGUUGGGCCUUAGUCCAAGAUGGGCCUGCGUUCAUGUUGCUGCGAGAGAUAAAACUGCAGUUCUUGGUCCAUGUGACAAAACCCGGCCUGCUUGUGAUUAAACAAAGGGACCAAAAGAACCCUCCAGGUGCGCUGCUCAGCUCUCACCGGGCUUAGAAAAUGCGAGGCCUCUGAACCCCCCACGGAGCAAUGUUCCACCCAAUACUCCACUCGGGAGACAGGCUAGAACACGGCCAGAAGGAAACGGUGGAUGCUGCUUACAGCAAACAGCAGUAUUUAAGACAAACACUACCAUUCCCUAAAGGGCUCAAAUCACCACUUUAAACCUACUGUGUGCACGUUGGAAAAAACCUCUCAGAGGACCCUCACUCUGUUCCGUGCUGCAGUGUUUAGUAACGUGAACAAGUCAGGUCCACAGCCUCCUCUUACGUACCUAUUUUAAAUGUUAACAAGAGAUAGAAAUACAGGUUUUACAGAACAUAACCGCUGACUGGUGGUGAUUCUGUGCCUACAAAAAAAUCAAGUAAAAGCAUCGCAGAUCAUAGUUGUCAGAGUGUUUUCAGGUAGAAAAUACUCAGGUAAGCUGUGGUUUAAAGGAUAGGAAUAAAAACCGUCCUGUGCCUCUUAACACAAUAUGAGUAAAAAGAACGGGUUUGCUGCUCU
ensembl:lncRNA